CCAAAAGACCAAGACAUCUUACAAUACCACACUCCCCCAGUCAGAGUCAGUCUCCUUCCUCUCUUAAAUUAACUGCAAAACAGAAGCAUCCACCCCUCCACACUUUUUUGUCCUUUUCCCCAAAUUUUUUUAUCAUUUUCCCAAAUUUUUGUUCUCCAAUGCAUGAUCCACUCACCUUCUCAAAAUUUUCUUUUACUUAAUUAACCCCAAUAAAAAACAUUUUGCAUGAAUGAACAGGUAACUAUUACCUGGAGAUCCGCACCCUAACGAAGUAAGAAGCUACCUCUCCCUUUCUCUCUUGUACUUCUCAUCACUUCCCACACCAACCCUUUUAAAUAUAAAGCCCCUCCUUCCUCUUCUCUUUCACUUUCACUCUUCACUCUCCCACUUCACUUCCCCUAUAUAUUUGCUUCACUUUCAUUUGUUCAAUACUUCCUCUCCCCUUGCACAUUCAUGUUCUAAUUUUUCUUUCAUCUGUUCUGUCGUUUAUUAUGUUCGUUUCGCUACGUUAAAUUGAUUGUCUCCAUUGUCCAUUUUCCUUUCGCCUUGCUGCCUUCGUCUUUCGGCUUUAGGACUAGCUCAACGCUUGAAGUAUUUUGAUUUGUGAGUUGUCAAGUAACAAUUAUUUUCUCAUUUUCUUCAUUUAUUCAUCUUCGAAAAAUGAAUGUGCAUGAUCAACAUCAAAGAAAGCCUUUUCCAGUAGAGCGAAGGCCAAGAAUGCUCCUCAAAGAUUUCCUCUGUGAAAAUUCUAACUCAUGUUCUUCAAGUGGUUUCAAUUCAUUUCCAAGAAAAUUACCAACCAACCCAAGCACUACCCCAAAAACCCUAAAUUCAUGUUCAGAAAAUACCAAUAUCAUUUCCAGAAAACUACUCAGAAGCAGAUCAAAAGCAGCCUCUACCACAAUCUCAGCAUUCCACUCCCUCAUGAAUGCAGUCAAAAACAUCCCAUUUACCACGGUUAAACCUCCCUUGUUUUUAACUAGAAGCUUUUCAAGGAGGCGGCUGCAGUCAAAAGACUCAAAACAGAACUCACCAAGGUCAUCAAGGAAGCAGGGUAGUCAAUGUCAAGUCCAAAUUACCAUGAGAGUCAAAGACAUCUUACGGUGGACAUCGUUCCGCGAUGAGAAGUUACCGCCACCUCCGCCGUUGGACUUUGUUUCUUCACCUCUGCAUUGUACCACAAGCACCACCAUAACAGGCUCCACCACUACAUGUACUACUUGUUGUAGUAAUUGCAGCAGCAACGGUUCAAGCUGGUCUGACAGUGAUUUCACCUCGGAGUUUUUACCGCCUUGGGGUGGUAACUCUGACCCUGACUGUGAGGAGGAUGGUAAAAAAUAUUCACCAUGUGUCGGCAGGGAUUCCAUGGAGAUGGACGCUACAUCAGGGACAGGAAGUUACGCCGCAUUGGGACCCAAGGCUGAGCUGCAACUGUGUGAUGAAGAAGAUGAGCAGCACAGCCCAAUUUCAGUGCUUGGUUUUCAAUUUGGGGAAGAUGAAGACUCGUCAUAUUCAAGUACUUUUGGUCAAAGCAUGGCCAAUAUGGAGAGGACAAAAGAAAUGCUUAUGCAGAAGAUCGAGCUCUUUGAGAGUCUUGCAACAAUAUAUCCCGUCAACUUAGACACAUCAAUGUCGUUCAACGAAAGAGCCAACUUUGAAGAAGAUGAUGAAACAGCAGAAAGGGCAAUGGAGCUGUUAAACCAUUGCAAAGCAAGCUGCUCAGACCUAAAGAGCUGGGAGCUGGAAAUAGUGGAAGAUCAACUAUUGUUUGAUUUUUUUAGAGAAGAAAUGGGUGCACAACGAAAUAAAAAAGAUGAUGAGUUUAAUAGGGAAAUGGUUAGCAAAGCAAAAGCUUGGAUGAGUGGGGAGUGGGGAUCACUAGAGCACAACAAGGAAGCUUGUGUGAGAGAUAUGCACAAAGAAGGAGGUGGAACAAGUUUGAGUUUGAGCAAGAGGAGCUGGCUUUGGAAAUAGAGACUGCCUUGUCAGAGCACUUGGUGGAUGAGCUUUUGCUUGAUCUCUUAUCGAGAUAAGAACUCUACUUCUAGAGAAGGACUUAUCUACAUUUUCAGUAUGUUAUACUCUAGCGUUCUGCACCAAUGAUGUAAUGUCAUGUGUUAUACUAUUCUUACGGAGUAUAUUGCAUCAUUGGUCCUGUAUGCUAUUGAAGAACGUAUCAUACGUAUGGUAGCGUAUCGGAAUGUAGGCAAGUCCCUAUUCUAGUUCUAGGGGUCUACUCACUUGGUUUCAGUUAGGGCCCCGUGGAUGAGGCAUGUCUUAUGAUAACAGCCAGUCGCAGUUUCCAAUAGUGGCCUUCGGCUAAGACCAAGGAUGGACGGAGACAGUGGAUGAGCAAUUGAGAGCAUUGGGUAUAAAGUGACCAUCUUUUCUGUGUCCCUGAGAAUUUCAUCAUUUGUAAAGACAGGAUGAAAAAGAAUGUGAGAGUGAGAGGCAUAACUUAUGCCCCAUUUUUUGUAGGGUCUGCAUUUUGAACAUUUGUGAAAAUAAAUGUGUAAUAAGAAUUAAAUUCUCAGAAAGACUAUUGAUUUUAACACUC